UUUGAAAAGUAGAUUAGAUGUCUUCGAGGAGAGAGCCGCGUUGGUGGGGAAAGUCUGCAAGCUACAGCCUACAUCCCUGCACGCGCCGAGCGGGGCAAACCACCUUGUUUGGGACACGAAGCAUAGGCCUAGUAUAGUGUGGUGUCCUAACUAUAAAGUAGCGUCUACGACCAUGAUGAUGAGUUUCUUGCGUAUUUCUCCUAAUAGCAAAAGAGUACAGAAGAAGAAAACGAAGCGCGUGAAACAGAGCGAACGUGCGACGCAUCUACUGGGCUCCAAAAAUCAGGGGAGGAGAAAGCAGAGGUCCUGCAGAAGAGCGCCCGAGUCAUUAUCG